AAUCCCAUAUAGCUUGAUCUUUAAAAUAAAAAAGACCUAGGCUUUUGAACCCUAAGAAGAAGGAGGUCAGCCGUCACCUAACCCCCCAUCUUCACCUUAGAGCCAUCUCACCUCCUUUCAUAGAUCCAGCCACCACACCAACCUUCUCUGCCUAUCGCCGCUGCGCCACCACUAAAGAAAAAAAGGCAGUCACUCCACCCUCAACAAAAACUCACCGAAAACCUAGCACACCCCACCCUUCUUGAUAUCCCAACGAUCCCACUCUCCCUUUCACUUUGAGAGAACACAACCAAUCUCUCAUCUCCCAAAAUUGAAAGAAACGGCAAAAAACAGAAGGGGAAGGGGAUUUGGAAAAUGAAACAGAGAAGAGAACAGACUACCCUAGAGCUAACAGCCGCACUCCCUAAAGUUUGAGACUCUAAUCUCUCUAUUUCUCACGUCUCAUCAGUGACUUCCAUACCCCUAUUCUCAUUUCCCCCAUAUCUCUCUCCCUUUCCGUAGCUACUGUCGUCGCCAUCAUUUAAGCCAUGGUCACCGAAAAUCUGUCGCUCGCCUCAUUUUGGUCAAGUUAAAGAGGUCGAAUUCGAUUUCGCUAGCGAGUUUCAGUUCGUUGGGCUUGGUAGAGUUUUUUUAUUCUCGAUUCAGUGUGAAUUCAUUCCAAUUUUUCAGAAAAAAAUUAUCAUUAAAGAUUCGACGCGCGUGGAUGCCGAUUCGAGGGGCAAUGGCGUCGCAAUUUAGAAAUUUAGCCGGUUCAAGAUUCAAGCGUAGCAGGUCCCGCUCUUGAGUGCUUAUCCUUCUAGUCCAGGCAAUGUUUCGGAGACUGCAAGGUAGCUGUUGGCGUCCGCAGCCCCAGUGUCUCCCUUAUCUCAUUAUUUCUAUGUUUUUCAAGCAGUUGUAUCAGAUAUCACAUUUAGUAGACUUGUAUUAGGAUCCUUAGUUGCUCAUGACUUGUGACAUCCCGGUUAGGGCUGUGUCGGUUGGGUUUUCGUUUUGUUAUCUCUAU